CCCUUAGACGUUCUGGGCCGCACGCGCGCUACACUGACGAAGGCAACGAGCUUUCCUUUACCGAAAGGUACGGGUAAUCUUUUGAAACUUCGUCGUGCUGGGGAUAGAUCCUUGCAAUUAUUGAUCUUAAACGAGGAAUUCCUAGUAAGCGCAAGUCAUCAACUUGCGUUGAUUACGUCCCUGCCCUUUGUACACACCGCCCGUCGCUACUACCGAUUGAAUGGUUUAGUGAGGCCUUCGGAUCCGCGACUCGUUUUGUGGAGAAGUUGGACAAACUCAGUCAUUUAGAGGAAGUAAAAGUCGUAACA
rnacentral:rRNA from 1 species